AGCAGCGGGCUCGUGGAAUCUGCUGUGAAUCUGCCGGGACCACCCGGUAAGCCUGAAUACUUCCUGGUGACCGAUAGCGGACAAGUACCGUGAGGGAAAGGUGAAAGUACCCCGGGAGGGGAGUGAAAUAGUACCUGAAACCGGACGCUUACAAUCCGUCAAAGCCUGUGCACAGUUUACUGUGGCGGGUGAUGGCGUGCCUUUUGAAGAAUGAGCCUGCGAGUUAGUGCUCGGUGGCGAGGUUAACCCGUGUGGGGGGGGUAGCCGUAGCGAAAGCGAGUCUGAAUAGGGCGUUUUGAGUCGCCGGGUCUAGACCCGAAGCGGAGUGAUCUACCCAUGGCCAGGGUGAAGCGUCGGUAAGACGUCGUGGAGGCCCGAACCCACUUCAGUUGAAAAUGGAGGGGAUGAGUUGUGGGUAGGGGUGAAAGGCCAAUCAAACUCCGUGAUAGCUGGUUCUCCCCGAAAUGCAUUUAGGUGCAGCGUCACAUGUUUCUUACUGGAGGUAGAGCUACUGGAUGGCCGAUGGGCCCCACAGGGUUACUGACGUCAGCCAAACUCCGAAUGCCGGUAAGUGAGAGUGUGGCAGUGAGACUGCGGGCGAUAAGGUUCGUAGUCGAGAGGGAAACAGCCCAGAUCGCCGGCUAAGGCCCCUAAGCGUGUACUAAGUGGAAAAGGAUGUGGGGUCGCGAAGACAACCAGGAGGUUGGCUUAGAAGCAGCCACCCUUGAAAGAGUGCGUAAUAGCUCACUGGUCAAGUGAUCCUGCGCCGACAAUGUAGCGGGGCUCAAGUACACCGCCGAAGCCGCGGCACUCACAUAUAGCCCGUCGAUCUUCUAUGGAGGGUCGGCCAGGUGUGUGGGUGGGUAGGGGAGCGUCCUGCAUCCGUGGAAGCGCCGGAGUGAUCCAGGUGUGGAGGGUGUGGGAGUGAGAAUGCAGGCAUGAGUAGCGAAAGCAGAGUGAGAAACUCUGCCGCCGAAUGACCAAGGGUUCCUGGGCCAGGCUAAUCCGCCCAGGGUGAGUCGGGACCUAAGGCGAGGCCGACAGGCGUAGUCGAUGGACAACGGGUUGAUAUUCCCGUACCCGUGUAUCCGCGCCCAUGCUGAAUCAGUUGUACUAACCAUCCUGAUCCCCCCCGGGAGCACCUUCGGGUGCCGAGUUGGGGUGAUGCAUGGGACCUUGGCUGGUAGUAGGCAAGCGAUGGGGUGACGCAGGAAGGUAGUGGGGCCAGUCAGUGGUUGUACUGGUGUAAGCCUGUAGGGCGAGUGAUAGGCAAAUCCGUCACUCAUACAGCCUGAGAGGUGAUGCGUAGCCGUUGAGGUGAAUUCCAUGAUCCUAUGCUGCCGAGAAAAGCCUCUAGUGAGUUGGUACACGGCCCGUACCCCAAACCAACACAGGUGGUCAGGUAGAGAAUACUAAGGCGAUCGAGAGAACUGUGGUUAAGGAACUCGGCAAAAUGCCCCCGUAACUUCGGGAGAAGGGGGACCCAUCCUGGUGACGGCAUGUACUGCUUGAGCUGGUGUGGGUCGCAGAGACCAGAGAGAAGCGACUGUUUACUAAAAACACAGGUCCGUGCGAAGUCGUAAGACGAUGUAUACGGACUGACGCCUGCCCGGUGCUGGAAGGUUAAGAGGACCGGUUAGUCACUUCGGUGGCGAAGCUGAGAAUUUAAGCCCCAGUAAACGGCGGUGGUAACUAUAACCAUCCUAAGGUAGCGAAAUUCCUUGUCGGGUAAGUUCCGACCUGCACGAAUGGCGUAACGACUUCUCUGCUGUCUCAACCACAGACUCGGCGAAAUUGCAGUACGAGUAAAGAUGCUCGUUACGCGCGGCAGGACGAAAAGACCCCGGGACCUUCACUAUAGCUUGGUAUUGGUGUUCGGUUCGGUUUGUGUAGGAUAGGUGGGAGACUGUGAAGUGGGCACGCCAGUGUUCAUGGAGUCGUUGUUGAAAUACCACUCUGAUCGUAUUGGACUUCUAACCUCGGACCCUGAUCGGGUUCAGGGACAGUGCCUGGUGGGUAGUUUAACUGGGGCGGUUGCCUCCUAAAAGGUAACGGAGGCGCCCAAAGGUUCCCUCAGCCUGGUUGGCAAUCAGGUGUUGAGUGUAAGUGCACAAGGGAGCUUGACUGUGAGACGUACAUGUCGAGCAGGGACG
rnacentral:rRNA from 1 species